rnacentral:rRNA from 1 species
GAACUGAAGAGUUUGAUCAUGGCUCAGAUUGAACGCUGGCGGCAGGCCUAACACAUGCAAGUCGAGCGGAUGACAGGAGCUUGCUCCUGAAUUCAGCGGCGGACGGGUGAGUAAUGCCUAGGAAUCUGCCUGGUAGUGGGGGACAACGUUUCGAAAGGAACGCUAAUACCGCAUACGUCCUACGGGAGAAAGCAGGGGACCUUCGGGCCUUGCGCUAUCAGAUGAGCCUAGGUCGGAUUAGCUAGUUGGUGAGGUAAUGGCUCACCAAGGCGACGAUCCGUAACUGGUCUGAGAGGAUGAUCAGUCACACUGGAACUGAGACACGGUCCAGACUCCUACGGGAGGCAGCAGUGGGGAAUAUUGGACAAUGGGCGAAAGCCUGAUCCAGCCAUGCCGCGUGUGUGAAGAAGGUCUUCGGAUUGUAAAGCACUUUAAGUUGGGAGGAAGGGCAUUAACCU